CUGCGGCCGGAGCUCGGCGGCGGGAGCGGCGGGAGCAGCUGCUGCAGCUGGCAGGGGGGGUGGGGCCGGCCGAACUGACCAAGCACAGACCCGGCGCGGCGGCACUGCGGCCCCGGGGCAGCCGGCGCGGGGACAUGCGCUGAUUCGAUCCCUCCGGAGAAGAUGGUUUUCCGUCAGCCCUUUGAGAGACACCAAGCUGUGGUAUUUGCCCAGAUAUGAUUACCAAUGGUCAUGCAAGUCACCAAUGAGAUACAAUCGAGAAUCAACAAAUGACUGAAAAGAGUGACAAAAGAAGAAGAGGAUCCAGUAAGGAGCAGUAGAGACGCUAUCCCAAGCACUCUUGGCUAGGAGUUUUACAAAUCCAUUCAUAUACGUGGACUGAUAGUUAACAGCCAAAUGGCACUGCAUAUUUUUCAGUUUAAGCCAGGAGAGUAAAUCCAGUUCCUAUUACUCCAUCCUGUCCAGAAGCACAGGUCUUAAGUGAAAUUUAAUACCAAAGAAACAGUUCCAAAUUUUACAACGGAUCUAUCACUGGUUGUUAGCAUAUCUUCCCACACCCAAGACACCAAGAUAACUUCUAGUCACUGUUAAAGCUUUAUGAUGAGCAAAACUUCCACCACUGUGCUUCCUUAGCAUGGCUGCUCCUGCUUUGAGGAUUUCCACUGGACCAACAUAGUAGCAAAGCAGCACUGAAUCAGAAGCAGAUGAGAAAACUGAGGCAAAAACAGAUAACAUGUUCAAGAGAACUCAACAAGUAAAUUUUAGAGUCAAGAUUUGAACCCAAGUUCUCAAGUUUUACAUCACUUACUCAUAGUCACCAAGCUCUAUACUGAGGAAGGGGAUGAAUGCUGAAGCCAUCACCUCAUGCUCAAGAAGUUAGACAGAAACUUAGCAGUGUUUGGAAUGAACAGACCCAGGGACGCUCCUUGCUCCAGCCCCCGACAACCGUCCAGCCUUUCUUCCUGUCGCAACCUUUGGAAUCAGCCACUCAGCUAUCCUCAGCCUCCAGGACAGGCCAACACCGUUUUUUGAGCUUAGCUCCUUAUCACUGAUCAACCACGAGUUCCCAUGUUCGUCAGAAUUAUUCCAUCGAGGUGGAGGCCGCCGUCCACCGCCUGUUAACAUGCAUCUGUGGACACUUACCUCUCUCUGAGCUUCUAUUUCGACAGCAACAAUGGGACUCUGGACAGUGGGGGCCACAUUUUUCGCCAACUGGCUAAGGAGAAGUGUGAGGGCGCCCAACGUCUCUUGAAAAUGCAAAACCAGUGCUGCGGCCACGCCCUCUUCCAGGAUGCGUGGAAGCCUUCUCAAGAUGAGUGGGGUAAAACCCAGGACACUGUGGAAGACGCCAUCCUUAGGGAGAAGAACCUGAACCAGGCACUAUCGGAUCUGUGCGCCCUGGGUCCUGCCCGCGCAGACUCCCACCUCUGUGACUUCCUGGAGAGCCGCUUCCUGGAGGAGCAGCUAAAACUCAUCAAGAAGAUGGGCGACCACCUGACCAACCUCCGCAGGCUGUCUGGUCCGCAGGCUGUGCUGGCUUCCCUCUUAUCAGGACAUGUCAGCAUUUAGUACCCAGAGGAGGCAUUUCCAGUCAUCUCAGCUUAGAGGUCAAAUAUCCAAAUAUCCAAAUAUCCAAAGUAAAAAUGGUUAAAGAAAAGAAGAAGAAGAAAGCAAGGAAGAAAAGAAGGAAACAAUUUUCUUAUCUCAUAAUAAUAAGGCAGUUUUCCAUAAAAAAAAUAAAGACUUAAGCCUUAAAUUCUCUUUCCUAAUCAAAAUGUGCUUUUCCGUCUUUAGACUAUUCCUCUUAUAUCCUGUAUUAUUAAUGAUGUUUAAUUCUUGCAAUAGCACAUGGCUGAAAACAGAAGCUAACCUCUUGUCCACUAUGAAUGAAAUCUUCUUUUCCUAGGACCCGUCUACAAUGUACAAUUUGGGGUUUGCCAACAUAAUUAUUUUCUCUGAAAUAAGGUACAGCAUUUUGCCUUUUCAAUAUAUACUUAUACAAUACAUUGUUAACACAACAUAGUUAAUAUAGUCAAUAUAGUCAAUACAACUAGAACACACAUGAUAUGAUGCCACUUUGGUGAUUUUCUUCAUCCAUGUAAUUCUGAAAUUUGACAGUAUAGUUUUCAUAUUCUAAUGAGCUGAGUAUUACCUUUGCAAGGAUAGAAAAAUAAAAUAAAUUCAUAAUAUUCUUGUGUGGUUUGCCCCUGGGGUGGAUUACCAUAAUGGGGGCAUAUUUGAGCCUUUCUCCAAGUCAUUAAAAAACCUCCAGCGAGUAGCCCCUUGUCCUCUCCAGGAAAUUGCAGGAAAGUAUCUUUAAUCACAAUAAUCCUGGGGGGAGAAAUCUCGGAAAUAAGACAUCUGCUUCUGUGCCUUGUUGUUUUGCAGAAUAGCAAUGAUUGCUUUAGCAGCUUCUAUUGCCAUAUGUGUAUAGUAAGUAAAUAAACAUAAAAUUGAAUGAACACAUAAAAGAAGGAUAAACCCACCCAGUUUAACAAAUCCACUCUCUCACCUGCUGUGCCCUGAAACAUGAAAGAAAGAAUCACGGGAUCAUAAGGAUUAAUAAAAUAACAGUCUCUGUUAACAAUAUUGACAGGAGGUAUAAGGAUGAUUUGUCUGAUGUGGGACCAACAGCUUAACUGCUUAAUUCUUUUUUUUAAGGGCAAAUCAUUCAUUUAUUGUUUA